GAACAAAAAUUAUGUAAAAUUAGAAGCAGGACAAGGAAACAUGGGGGACCAACUACAACAUAACUUAAACGAAAAAAAAAACACAAGAAACAAACAUGGGGGACCACAUUGCAACAUCAAUAUAAAGCACAACAACAAUUAUGGUCUACUACGACACUUCAAACAUGGGACCACUUUGCAACAACAAUUUCAAGAACAACAUAAAUAACACUACCACACCACUUCGAACAUGGGGGACCACCACUGACCAUGAAUCAUUGUCAAAAAUAUAGAAACAAGUAAACA
rnacentral:lncRNA from 1 species